UACGGAGGCAGCAGUGGGGAAUAUUGCACAAUGGGCGAAAGCCUGAUGCAGCUAUGCCGCGUGUAUGAAGAAGGCCUUAGGGUUGUAAAGUACUUUCAUCGGGGAGGAAAAACAAAACUAAUAAUUUUAUUUCUUGACGUUACCCGAAAAAGAAGCACCGGCUAACUCCGUGCCAGCAGCCGCGGUAAUACGGAGGGUGCUAGCGUUAAUCAGAAUUACUGGGCGUAAAGAGCACGUAGGUGGUUUUUUUAAGUCAGAUGUGAAAUCCCUGGGCUUAACCUGGAACUGCAUUUUGAAACUGAAAUACUAGAGUAUCGUAGAGGGAGGUAGAAUUCUAGGUGUAGCGGUGAAAUGCGUAGAUAUCUGGAGGAAUACCUGUGGCGAAAGCGGCCUCCUAAACGAAUACUGACACUGAGGUGCGAAAGCGUGGGGAGCAAACAGGGAUUAGAUACC
rnacentral:rRNA from 1 species